rnacentral:lncRNA from 1 species
GUCCAAUAUGGCGGCGCCCAGUGGCGGUGUGAACUGUGAGGAGUUCGCCGAGUUCCAGGAAUUACUCAAGGUGAUGAGGACAAUUGAUGACAGAAUAGUACAUGAAUUAAACACUACGGUUCCAACAGCUUCCUUUGCAGGGAAAAUUGAUGCCAGCCAAACCUGUAAACAACUUUAUGAGUCUUUGAUGGCAGCUCAUGCCAGUAGAGACAGAGUCAUAAAAAACUGUAUAGCCCAGACUUCAGCAGUAGUAAAAAACCUCCGAGAAGAGAGAGAAAAGAAUUUGGACGAUUUAACGUUAUUAAAACAACUUAGAAAAGAGCAGACAAAGGUAAGUUGAACAGAAUUAACAUUUCUCAGGCAAAGUUUUUCCAAUUGUAGCCUUCAAAGUAAGAUUUUUAAUAUGAAAAUUUUGGCAUAUAAUAUGGCAGUUACUUAAAAAAAUGAUCAAGAGAUUAGUGCUUCAUUUUUAGUGAGCUUUAUUUUAUUAUGUUUAGUUAUUAAUUGGUAAAUUAAUGUGCACUUCUUGAACAAAUGCAGCAUAGCAGCUUUGUCUAAAAUAAGCACAGUCAUAAUUUAUUUUCAUUUCUUUGUUUCUUUCCCACUAUUAAAGACAAGGGAUCACUACAGGUGAAGUACCACAUCAGAAAUUCUGGGGAAAUCACAUCUGUACAGUAUCUGCC